rnacentral:rRNA from 1 species
AGUGAACGCUGGCGGUAGGCCUAACACAUGCAAGUCGAACGGCAGCACAGUAAGAGCUUGCUCUUACGGGUGGCGAGUGGCGGACGGGUGAGGAAUACAUCGGAAUCUACUUUUUCGUGGGGGAUAACGUAGGGAAACUUACGCUAAUACCGCAUACGACCUACGGGUGAAAGCAGGGGAUCUUCGGACCUUGCGCGAUUGAAUGAGCCGAUGUCGGAUUAGCUAGUUGGCGGGGUAAAGGCCCACCAAGGCGACGAUCCGCAGCUGGUCUGAGAGGAUGAUCAGCCACACUGGAACUGAGACACGGUCCAGACUCCUACGGGAGGCAGCAGUGGGGAAUAUUGGACAAUGGGCGCAAGCCUGAUCCAGCCAUACCGCGUGGGUGAAGAAGGCCUUCGGGUUGUAAAGCCCUUUUGUUGGGAAAGAAAAGCAGCAGGUUAAUACCCCGCUGUUCUGACGGUACCCAAAGAAUAAGUACCGGCUAACUUCGUG